UGGGGAAUUUUGGACAAUGGGCGAAAGCCUGAUCCAGCAAUGCCGCGUGUGUGAAGAAGGCCUUCGGGUUGUAAAGCACUUUUGUCCGGAAAGAAAUCCUUGGCUCUAAUACAGUCGGGGGAUGACGGUACCGGAAGAAUAAGCACCGGCUAACUACGUGCCAGCAGCCGCGGUAAUACGUAGGGUGCAAGCGUUAAUCGGAAUUACUGGGCGUAAAGCGUGCGCAGGCGGUUUGCUAAGGCCGAUGUGAAAUCCCCGGGCUCAACCUGGGAACUGCAUUGGUGACUGGCAGGCUAGAGUAUGGCAGAGGGGGGUAGAAUUCCACGUGUAGCAGUGAAAUGCGUAGAGAUGUGGAGGAAUACCGAUGGCGAAGGCAGCCCCCUGGGCCAAUACUGACGCUCAUGCACGAAAGCGUGGGGAGCAAAACAGGAUUAGAUACCCUGGUAGUCCACGCCCUAAACGAUGUCAACUAGUUGUUGGGGAUUCAUUUCCUUAGUAACGUAGCUAACGCGUGAAGUUGACCGCCUGGGGAGUACGGUCGCAAGAUUAAAACUUAAAUGAAUUGACGGGGUCAUAGCUGUUUCCU
rnacentral:rRNA from 1 species